CAAGGGCUGUCGCAUUCCCCAGACCUCUGCUCGCAAGCGUAUAAAAGCUCUCCCAUCCCAGCACACCUCAUUCGCUCACUGACACUUCUGAGACCUUGUCCUUGUAGCUGAGCAAGCUUUGCCUACUCCAGAAAGAUGUGUUCCCACGGGUCCUGCCACAACCGCCACAGGUCUUGCAAUGGCUCCAGCUCUCACUGCCACGAGUCCAGACCCUCCUGCAACAUCGUUGUGGUAGAGAAGCCAUACGUGCAGGCCUGCUGCCCCGUGCCAUCCUACUGUCCACCCGUGUCCUGCUGCUACCCACGCUACCAGUAUUCUCAGUGCUGCAAGUUCCCACAGUACCCCAAGUGCCCUCCACAGUACCCCAAGUAGAAGACACAUCUCAGGAAGACCUGCAUGUUUUGUUCUUCUCUUUACAAAGACCAUUCUAGUGCUCACAGCUCAUCCAGUCUCCUUUCAGAAAUUGUAAUUUCCUGUUUUCUUUCAUCUCUAAAUGUCUGUAACCUGCUCUGAAGAUUUGCCCACUGUACAAGUGUGAUGGACUCAUUACUAGGGACCAUUUGUGGUCUCAUUCAUUAUUCAUCUUGUGUCUGAAAAAUACUGAUUUCUGCUUGGUGAAAUUCUUCACUUGUUUUCCUACUUUGCCUUCACUUGGAUAUGUGACACAAUAAAAGUUACUAUUCAAGUAAAGAACUUUGUUUUAA